UACGUAGGGUGCAAGCGUUAAUCGGAAUUACUGGGCGUAAAGCGUGCGCAGGCGGUGAUGUAAGACAGAUGUGAAAUCCCCGGGCUCAACCUGGGAACUGCAUUUGUGACUGCAUCGCUGGAGUGCGGCAGAGGGGGAUGGAAUUCCGCGUGUAGCAGUGAAAUGCGUAGAUAUGCGGAGGAACACCGAUGGCGAGGGCAAUCCCCUGGGCCUGCACUGACGCUCAUGCACGAAAGCGUGAGGAGCAAACAGG
rnacentral:rRNA from 1 species